GACGAACGCUGGCGGCGUGCCUAAUACAUGCGAGUUGAGCGCUGAAGGUUGGUACUUGUACCAACUGGAUGAGCAGCGAACGGGUGAGUAACGCGUGGGGAAUCUGCCUUUGAGCGGGGGACAACAUUUGGAAACGAAUGCUAAUACCGCAUAAAAACUUUAAACACAAGUUUUAAGUUUGAAAGAUGCAAUUGCAUCGCUCAAAGAUGAUCCCGCGUUGUAUUAGCUAGUUGGUGAGGUAAAGGCUCACCAAGGCGAUGAUACAUAGCCGACCUGAGAGGGUGAUCGGCCACAUUGGGACGGAGACACGGCCCAAACUCCUACGGGAGGCAGCAGUAGGGAAUCUUCGGCAAUGGACGAAAGUCUGACCGAGCAACGCCGCGUGAGUGAAGAAGGUUUUCGGAUCGUAAAACUCUGUUGGUAGAGAAGAACGUUGGUGAGAGUGGAAAGCUCAUCAAGUGACGGUAACUACCCAGAAAGGGACGGCUAACUACGUG
rnacentral:rRNA from 1 species